rnacentral:rRNA from 1 species
CAGUAGCCGCGGUAAUACGUAGGUGGCAAGCGUUGUCCGGAAUUAUUGGGCGUAAAGGGCUCGCAGGCGGUUUCUUAAGUCUGAUGUGAAGGCCCCCGGCUCAACCGGGGAGGGUCAUUGGAAACUGGGAAACUUGAGUGCAGAAGAGGAGAGUGGAAUUCCACGUGUAGCGGUGAAAUGCGCAGAGAUGUGGAGGAACACCAGUGGCGAAGGCGACUCUCUGGUCUGUAACUGACGCUGAGGAGCGAAAGCGUGGGGAGCAAACAGGAUUAGAGACCCCUGUAGUCCCUGUCUCUUAUAC